rnacentral:rRNA from 1 species
AAUAAGCCACGGCUAACUCUGUGCCAGCAGCCGCGGUAAGACAGAGGUGGCGAGCGUUGUUCGGAAUUACUGGGCUUAAAGGGCGAGUAGGCGGUGGGACAAGUCUGAUGUGGAAUCUUAGGGCUUAACCCUAAAACUGCAUUAGAAACUGUUUUACUUGAGUCAGUGAGGGGAGGGCGGAAUUCCCGGUGUAGCGGUGAGAUGCGUAGAUAUCGGGAGGAAGGCCGGUGGCGAAGGCGGCCCUCUGGCACUGUACUGACGCUGAGGCGCGAAAGCGUGGGGAGCAAACAGGAUUAGAUACCCUGGUAGUCCACGCCCUAAACGGUGGGCAUUAGGUGUAGGGCUCGCAAGGGUUCUGUGCCGAAGGGAAACCA